rnacentral:rRNA from 1 species
GAUGAACGCUGGCGGCGUGCCUAAUACAUGCAAGUCGAGCGAACAGACGAGGAGCUUACUCCUCUGACGUUAGCGGCGGACGGGUGAGUAACACGUGGAUAACCUACCUAUAAGACUGGGAUAACUUCGGGAAACCGGAGCUAAUACCGGAUAAUAUAUUGAACCGCAUGGUUCAAUAGUGAAAGACGGUUUUGCUGUCACUUAUAGAUGGAUCCGCGCCGCAUUAGCUAGUUGGUAAGGUAACGGCUUACCAAGGCAACGAUGCGUAGCCGACCUGAGAGGGUGAUCGGCCACACUGGAACUGAGACACGGUCCAGACUCUUACGGGAGGCAGCAGUAGGGAAUCUUCCGCAAUGGGCGAAAGCCUGACGGAGCAACGCCGCGUGAGUGAUGAAGGUCUUCGGAUCGUAAAACUCUGUUAUUAGGGAAGAACAAAUGUGUAAGUAACUAUGCACGUCUUGACGGUACCUAAUCAGAAAGCCACGGCUAACUACGUG